ensembl:snRNA U6 U6 spliceosomal RNA
GUGGCUCACGUCAGCAACACAUAUUAAAAUUGGAACAACCCAGAGAUUAGCUACAGUCCCUGCGCAAGGGUAACAUGCAAAUUCAUGAACCAGUCCAUAUUUUU